rnacentral:lncRNA from 1 species
UUUUUUUUUUUUUUUUUUUUGCAUAAUAGAUAUAAUUUGAAGACGUAAAUGAUGAAGUUCCUUGAAGCUGUACAAUUGGGAACAAGAAAAUUAUUUUGAGUUUAAAGUGAACUGUAAGAUCAUGUUCUCAUUUUUUUUUAUUAUCUUCAUUUUUCAUUCCUACUGUUUAAAAUUAACUUCAUAUAAAACGUGCAGCUAUCCUCAUCUCUUUGAGGAACACAUAAGAAAGGGGGAGUAAAAGGGGAUCAACUACCAAAAACCAAUAAUUUAAAAUAACGUCAACUAAAAAUAACCAUCAGAGUUGGUCAAGUGAUCAGGAAAAGAAUUUUACAGUUCACCCCGCUAUCUGAUUCAAGUUCAAAUCCUAAGCCUAAUAAUUUGGUAAUGAGAAAGGGUGUGAGAAGAGGAAUUUAAAAUUCUGAUCAAGGAACUCAUCCACAACCAAAUUUAAAAUGGAAUGCAGGUGAAUUUCUUGCAGUCCAAAUAAUUUUAGAAUGUUACUUUGGGUGGUGGGCUGGCCCCCUGGUUAGAAUGUUAAGUCCGCAACUGGCGUUAAAGAACAAAAUCAGUCCAGAAAAGGAAAUUACUCGGAGUGAGUGAAGAAUUGAACUCUUAAGUAUAAAUUUUUCCAUCUCUUUACCAGAAAAGCAUAGAUUUUCAGCAAAAGCAUGCAUUCCUAAACUGUACAAAAAUUCUGCACCACUGGCUAGCGACGCACCUACCCCAUAUCCGGUUUUGGGAGAAAUUUUCAUCUAUCUUUCUAGCAAUCUCCUAUAAUAGCGCACUGGAGAGGUUAGGUUAUUAUCUGGUAUCACUGGGGAUAUAUACUUUGUUAAUCAUAUGCCUUCAGAAGGAAAAUGCUGUACAACUUAACAAUGAUCUACAGAUAUUGUGACCCUACUAUGCGCAGGCUGCCAGGGGAAGUAAAAUUGGCAGCAAGAACCACAGUUUUCAAUCUUCAAAUAUGACACCAAGCACACAGCUGAGCAAACAGGAGCCAGAUAUUUGCAUCCAUGAGUACUGCAACAGUUACUCCAAUCUUGCGCGCUUGGAGGAUGCUUCAUUCAUCCAUUGAAUACAUUUAUCUUUAGAUUCAAAGGGAUGGGCAAGCUGCCACUCAAUCAGCUUCUGUUGCUGCAAAGAACAAAUUGGCAGAAACCUCAAUUAUUUCAGCUAUAAUGUAUUCUAUAGCUUUACUUCAAAACUAUGAUGAUUUACCCAUUCUCUGACAAGUGGUCCGCCAGUCUUAAGAUCCAAAAUACUCAUAAUCUCCUUUCCAUCCACCAACGGUUUUACUUCCCAAACUUUAUCUAGACCUGCAUCCACACAAGAGACAAAAACCUAAGAGAGAAUAGCAUUAAGUUAUGAGACAAUGAAAAAACUCCAAGUUCACUGUCAGGUUGCCAUUCAAGCAUUCUCCCAACCCUUUUUCAAGUCAUGUAAAUUUUUGAAGGUUGGAUAAUGAGCUAGAUGGCAGGGAAGAAGCAGCCAUUCUCAGAAGGACAAGUAAAAAAUUAUUACAGAUAAGCAAGUAAUUCUGCCAAGACAGAACUAUAGAAACAGAACUAUAGAAGUGGCUUCUAAAAAAUCUAUUGCAUUGCUUAAGUAAAGUGUUAUUAGCAGAAGUGCCCAAGCUUAUAGACCAUUCAAAGCAUUCUCAAGAAACCCUCUUUGUAUGAUUUAAUACUUCACAAUUUGCUUUUCACUUUCAGAGUAAAAAACUCAAAAGAAAAUGGGGAGAUCUAGAUGCAAAUAUAUCCGACAAGUGCAUGCUUUUUAGAAAAAGAGUGCAAAAGCUUACUAUCCAAACUAUGCAGAGGAUUAUACUUUAUGGUUCAAAGCAUUAAAGUCAAACCCUAAACCCUACAACAUCCAAAGACAAAAAUUAAGGAUGCUCCAAAUGUUCAUCUUCUCAGCAGAAAUGAUCAAACAGUUUCAGCUUCUACACAUCUGACAAUGCGAUAAGAAGAGAAUUUUACUCAUAAUGACAUGCAGAGGCCUCAUAAUUUAAUUCACAAAAUAAGCAUAGAACUCACAAGGUUCUGCAACCCAUAUAAUAAUUUCAUGAGAAAAUGCUGAAAGAAAGAAUUAAUUAUCCCGAAAAUCAUAUUUGUGAUGCAGAAAACAUGUAUGAGGCUAGAAACCUUCCAAAAAAUUCUUCCAGCAAUUUGGUUUUGGUUUGGCAGCCAAAAACUUGAAUAAUAAGUUUGAGUUGAUAUAGCUUCAGGAGAUUAUGCUAAAAAUUGAACAGCAGAGGAAGGGAAGAAAUUUUAAAAUCCCACAUAAGUUGCUUUGACACCAAAAGGUAAGGCUCAUACAAACUCCAAAAUGUUCCAAACAUUCUGGCUCCAAGCAUAAAUUCCACUGUUUUUUGCACACAGAAUUUUUUUAAACACUCGUGGACUUCCAACAGCCAAUAAUAGUUACUUUUAUGUCAAAAGUCAUAUACCUACAUGUCUAACUAUCCAACAUUGUAAAACAAAGUCAGUCCUAUCUGGCUCUUGCAAAACCUAAGUAAAAUAGUUCAAAGUAUGACUUGUCAGCAAUAGCCACCAGUGAAACUUUCCCCAGAACUUUCCAAAUAAUAAGCCAAAUGCCAAUUGGCAGUACAAAGUUUACCCUAAUUCUUUCAAAGUUUGCCAACUAAACUGCCAGGCUUGGGAAAAUUUCACUUUGUUCCAAUAAAGUUUAAAGAAGAAACAAGUUGGCAUGCCAAAAUCCUAAUUAGAUCUAUUUAGAACCCCUUAACCUUCACCUACUGCAAACCAUGAGGAAUAUAUUUUCAAGGCCAAGAAUUCUGGAAACACCACAAUAUACAGCUACGGCAAGCCAGUCGCAAAUGCAGGCUACAUAAUGCAGAAUUCUAGACAGAUACACAAUCCUCGGAUUCCAACUCAUCAUCUCAAGUGAUAGAACUACUGGUCCUACAAGCUUCUAGAAACUACUGGUAGCACCAACCAACCACAGCUACUUGGUUGUAAACGCACAAUCAACUCAAUGAACACUUUUGUACUUCUAUGGUAAGGUAGACUUUUGAGUGGUAAGGGAGAAAAAACACUUCAUUGGCUGGUAGUUGCAUGAGACCUUACGGGGGACGAGAGCAACCAAGAGCAGAGAUGAAAGCAGAUCAAGGACAGUGUACACAGUUGUAUUGCAGUCACAGAAGUUUUGAGAUUCUAACUAGAAUACUUCGCAUACCCACUUUCACAAAUGAAAUGAAAAGAAUAGCUAGAGAUCUGAGCAUAUGAACUAUCCAAGCUUAAAAUCUCAUCUCAAACACAUAGAUGCUGAAUUAGAGAACUCAACCACAAGAACAAGCACAUUUUCAUCUUCACCAAAAUUUAUAUAUUUAAGCUAAUCCAUAAAUAAGAACAUGAACAACAGAGAGCAACCAUACCUUUUCCCAGAAUUGCUUCCUCAACCAUGUUAUAUACUUCUCUCCUCUUGUCAAAUUCAAAAGAACUGGUGGCAGAAUAAAUAUCUGUAGGGUAUAACAGCAUAGAAAGCAGUAAUGCAGCCCGCCAAAAGUCUUUAAUGUCUCGUAAGAGUAAUCCUGCAAGUUGAAGUAAAUGUCAAGCAUUGGUUGCAAAAGUCAAGGACACUAUACUUGAAGAACCGGUAGAUCAUUCAUCCACACCAAUAAUGUCUUCUUGAGAAUUUUUUACAAUAAACUAUUAUCUGUUAUCUCACAUGUCUCAAGCAUUGGCUGCAAAAGUCAAGGGCACUAUACUUGAAGAACCGGUAGAUCGUUCAUCCACUCAAAUAAUGUCUUCCUGAGAAUUUUUUAGAAUAAGUUAUUGUCUAUCAUCUAACAUGUUCCCCCAUCCUCCACCCUCCGAAUAUUUAUUAAAAAAAAAAAAAAAAAGCUGUGUUGCAUCUCAUAAUAAAGGUAUUAGUUCUUUUUAAAAUUAAUCCAGAAGCCUCACAAUAAUUUCAAGACCAUUGCACAUUCUCAAAAUGUUUUGUGCAGAUAUUACUGAACCAACAAUAAACUUAAAUACUUCUAGAUACUUAAGCACAUCCUAUCAACACCAAAAAUCUUUUUCAUGUGUUAUUUCUGUUGUUGCAGAGGCAGCAUGGCCAAACUACCUUCAAAUACAGGAAAUGAAUCCCUAGGUUUCAAUAAGAGCAGAAAUCACAGUAAAGUGUGAGAAGCUCAACUGCUCAUUCGAAUAAACCAUUAUCACCCGAGAAGUCCUAAAACAUGAAGAGAGGCUGGGGAAUGAAAAGAUGGCAACAAACCCAGCAUCAUUUCUGAAGCAAGCACCAAUUGAAAUAGCUUAGUGAAUAUAAUAGGUCGAUCUAGAUUGGUCAAUUAGGAUACCCAGCAAGUGUAUCUAUAUUUAUGGAUAAGCAACCCCAGGCAAUAUGCAGGUUUGUAAUGGCAGCACAGUUUCUGAACCAUUUAUAACCAUUUCCUUUAGGAUCAAAUGUUCUAUCAACACUAAGUUUUGCACACUCAUUUCUAUUCAAGCAUAACUCAAGAAUUCUAGAUUUUCAGCAGACUUCACAUCCUCUACCUUAGAAACUUCUAUGUAAUGCAAUCCUCAAUUUUUUUCAACUAUCAGAAAUUUAGACUGCAGAAAGUAGUAUUAAUAGUUUAGACUGCAAUCCUCAAUUUUUCUCAACUAUCAUUAGGAUUAGUAGUUUAAAGUCAUCCAGUACAUUUUGAAAUAUGAAUGAGACUUAUCAAAUCUUGAUUAUGUGACAGUCAGUUGAGCUAAAAUCUGUUUUCGUUGAACACCAAUGUGAGUAAACAUUAUCAAAAUAUUGAACUUGCAAGUAACAUCAGUUCAGACUAAAAUAUACAAUUCAAAGACAAGCAACAUCAUCAUAUAUUAUAGAUGCCGAAAAUCAUGCAAAAUUGUGUUGCAGGAAACAGUUAUUUACCAGCCAAUAUUCUAAGUUUUGAAGCAAAAGGGACAUCAAUUAUUUCUCUUUUCCAAUCAACUUCAAGAAUCUGUAUAUCCUCCUUGGAUACUACAAAAGGAAUCAAGGACACAAACUUUUUUGUUGCGAUAUGCAAGCUUAUGACCUGCAAAAAAUAAAUAAAUCGAAUAUAGUCUACAAGCAUCAUGGUGUCCACAAGCAAGGAAUUAGAGAAGCAUCAGCUAACAGAUUUAUUCAACCACAAGAAUUAGCCAUUUAGAUAUAGCAAGUUAAAACACUUUUAUUUUAGCAGUUAGAAGCAGAAAGGAAAGUUCUGCCGCCCUUCAAGCAUUCUUACAUAAAAUUUUCAAAGUUUUCAUUUUCUAUAAAUUGUUUGACGACGAAUUCAACCAAUAUGCGCGAAAGUUCUAUUCUUUGAGAAAUUAUAAUGAUUUGUAUCUAGUAUUAAUAUAUUAGCAAAGAAGUUAAUAUUUCACCAUUAUACACAUUCAUAUAUAUCUAUAUAUAUAUAUAUUAAUUAAAAGAAUAACAACUUACCAUCUCAGCAUCACUGGCCUUUAGCUUGAGAGAAUUGCGAAUGAUGUAACUGACAACUGGAAUCUGUUAGAUAUUUGAGCUUCAGUUUCAAAUGACAUGAACCGGUUAAAAAAAGAAAAGGAUUUCUUGCAUGCAGUUAAGAUGCUAAAUAAAAGUAAAGGGAACAAUGAGGUCUUUCCACAAAUGAUCAAUUUCAGAAAAACCACGACAGUACCACAGCAGUUUGGCAAAAACUCAUGUUUAUGGAGACUCUUUUCACAUCAACGAGAAACGGUUUAUCAAACAGCUUUGAAGGUGAUAAAAACAAAGUUUAAAAGGAGGAAGAUUCCAAUGUGCAGUGAAAAAAAUACCUUUAGACAUUCACUUAAUCAUUUGGUUAUCUUUGACAAACACAAAUGCAGCAUAACGUGUGCUAAUGUACCCAACAAAUGCAUAAAAAGGGAUAGACAGUAAUUAAGAAGAAUAUCAAGAAAUUACUCUACCUUUUUAGCUUUUUUUUCUUUGUACACAUUCUCUCUAAAUGGAAGAAACAAAGCAGCAUACAGAAACAGCCGCUGUUGAUCUGCCUGAAUCCAAUAAGCAGCAUACACAUUACAAACCUAAAAUGAUACCUUAAGCAAAGAAAGGUAAAGCAGACUGAACAUAGAAGCACAAAUGUUAGUCUGAUACCUACCAUCGAACACUGAAUGACAUAAACAGAGUAAUUCAUACAAGAAUGAUUAGUUUCCAGAGCCAACUCAGCAGACAGAAAUUGAAAGCAGUACAGUACAAUAGUGAAACAAAAUUUCUAACUAAAUUCUUUCUUUUAAAUGUCAGCCCCUUUUAUCGGGAAAAAGAACAUAUGAACUUGUUUUGUAUCUAAAUUAAGUAUGCAUAGCUUAUUCACUGUGUUCCCUACUUACGGUUUUACACCUCCAUCACAACAUAUGGGUCUGCAACUGUUCAAUAUCAACAAAUGGAAGCACUCUCUUGCAUCUUGGCAUAGGAUUUUCUAUUCUAUAAACUCUCUCCCACUCUCACCCAACAAAAGUAUAAUGGUACAUUUGGGCAGGCCAUAUCAAGAACAGAUGAAUUGCCACCAUGUAUAUUCAACUUACAAGUGAGGUAUAAAGGCGAGACUAACAGGUCGAAAAGUAGAUAAUAUUUAACUUGACGUGAGAUAUGUGUAACUCACACUGAAAGGGCAACCAAUUGCUUCCAAAAGUCUCCAAGCAGAAUCAAAGUCAGCAACACAAACCCUGAAAGAAAAUAAACACUAACCAUGAGAAAAUAACAUAAAUAAGUCAACAUAAAAAAAUAAAAGAAUGCCAAAAAAGCAAUAAAGAAGAAAACACUGCUCAGUACGCGGUAAUAAAUGAAAAAAGUAGUAUUGUUGAGAAAACUCUCAAGUUGCGACUACAGGGUAGGCCCUAUUAUAAACUUGAGCAAGACACACCGAACAUUGUAUAGAAAUAGUCCUCAAGGUGCACAAAACAUUAACUACCAGUAUGAUGUCAACAGCAACAACCACCAAAAAAAAAUACACUCAGCAAGGAUUGGGAGUGCUGUGGGAAUUCACAAACAGUUUUGAAUGCAUUCAAAGAUUUACCAACCAAAACCAGCUCAUAACAAGAACUGAAAUGCCAAACUAAACCAGUUUAAGAAAAUCAGGGUUAAUGGAGUGCAACAUUUUACAACUAAAUCAACUGCAGAAUGUCAGUAGUAUCAAGAUAACACUCCAGAUGUUCAGUGACACAUCAUCAUCACAGGAACAAAAAACAUUACAGUUUCUACACACAUGAUGAUAUUUGACUUUUAUACCAACAAUUUUCAUAUAAAGAAGAAGUCUGACCAACGAGUUAAGGAAGAGGAGAGCCAUUCUUCAACAACAUUAUAGGCAGAAAUUGUCACUAAUUUAUCGUUGUCAAUACUAUAUUAAAUGGAAAGGGUCCAUAAGGAUUGAAAAAUUAUUUGCAAUUUUUUUUUUCCUAUUAUGCACCAUAGCUCUUUUAUCUUUAUGUGAUGUGAGGUAAAAAGGUGGUCACAAAAUAUGUUCAGAAAUAAUGUGUGUACUAUACUGACAAUCCAAAUGCACCAAAGCCACCCUUGAACAAGGUGCUUAGGAGACCGAAUCUUUGUGACUACAAAAGUCCUCCCAAUUUUUAAACCAAGACAAAGAACCUAUUCCACAUCUUUUAACUAGCACUUACAUUGUUUCAGCCAAAAUAUAAACCAAAACAAUAUUAAAAUUGGAAGCCACCCUCCUACUUUCAAGUGGCAGUUAGGAGACCAAAUUGUAAUGACCCCAACAGUCCUCCCAUUUUUAUUACGUGAACACAAGACCCCUUCCACUUUUUGGAUUUGCAAUUUAUUCAACCCAGAUUAUAAAAGCAUAAAAUUACAAAUAAACUACUGCAAAAAAAUGCAUAAAUUAUAUAUGAUUACCAUUUCAAUAAGUAUGCUCCAUAUAAUAUGUGUGUGCAAUUGUGUGUGCUCAAUGCUAGUGAUCUUAAAUGCAGGCUUGAAUUGAUAUCUUAUUUUAUAUUUUGCUGGUCAUACAUUUCAUAGCAGCUGGAACUUGAGCACUUGACCUACAUAACUGGGAAAAUUCUACUAAAAGAAGUUCCAUACUUCCAAUGACCUCUUUAUUGUAUUACAUUUCAUUCAUCAAGGAGCAUUCAGAAAGAUAUUUAAUUCAUUAUCUCCUCCCUCCUCAAACAAAUUAAAGAAUCGCCAAAUACAAUAAACAUCUAACAAACAUGACAUUAGAUUAGGAAGGGAAAUAAAAUGGACAAGAAUGGUGAUAAAAGUCAAAAGGCUAGACAACUGAUUAAUUAAGGUGAAAAUCAAACAAAAAUUGUAGGAUGACUAAGAAUUUGUGAUACCAGAGAUACACUCGGUCAGUAAUGAUUACGGCCCUAUCUGUCUAGCCCAAUUAAAUCACUUGAUUUCAUAAGUUUGUACUCACUUAAGAAAUGCAUAACAAGCCCAUGCUCAAUGCUCCUAUAAUGAAACACGAUCAUCACCAACAGAAGGUAACAUGAAAAGAGAAAAACCUAUCAUAUCUAUCGGGAAUUUCAGGCUCAAACUCCAAAGGAAGACUGAACACGGCACCAAAAAGCUGCAAAUCAGAAACAUAGGUCAUUGCUUUCACCGGUUGAUUGCCAGAUACCAUAAGAUCAAUCUGCGUAAUCAAAUAUGAAACAAGAAAAAGAUUAAGUUAGAUCAUGCAUCAAAAUAAUCUGUUGUCAUAGAACAGUUGACUUUUUUUUGAAGAAAAGAAAAAAAAAAUGACUUAAAAGACAAGCAGUAUGAACAUACUUCAUGACCAAUACGUUCUCUGCUGAUUUUAUUUGCAAUAGCAGCUUUGACUUCCUCAUCAGAAGCAGCUUUUCUCAACUCUUCAUCCAAAGCAAAACCAAACCGUGCACCUGACAUCACCAGAAAGCAGUAAGACAUACAGGAAGAAACAAAUAGUAGAUCUAUUGAAAAGCAACGAAUUCCCCAGGAGGCUCCAAAGGGGCAGACAAAGUGUUUAAAACUCUCUGCAUCAAUCCUUAGUGCCCAAUUGAAUUAUCAAAAAGUGUUAUUCCAUGUUUGCUAGACUUCAGACGUGGUAUAAUACCAAUCAUACUUAUAUAGAGAUACAAUCCCAUGCAAGCUGGUAAAACUAUUUAUCUGGAAAGAAAAUUGAAAAACUAAGAAGAAAGGGAGAGAAAAUAUAUCUUUGGACUACACAAUAUACAAAUAUAUAUACACAAGUAUAACCUAAUUUAAAUCCUAAAAUCAUGCUAAUCUAAAUCAAUCUAUUAUCUAAUUAAUAUAUAAUACUAUAAUCAAAACAAAUCAAAUCUAAUCUUUCCUAAUAUCUACAAUAUCAAAUCUUUACAUAUCUUCAACACUCCCUCUCAAGAUGGAGCAUAGAUUUUAAUCAUGCCCAUCUUGCCACAAAUAUAAUCAAUUGUCGGACCAUUUAGAGGUUAAGUGAAAAUAUCAGCUAAUUGCUCUCCAGUUCUCACAUGACUAGUUGAGAUCAGGUUUUGCUGAACUUUUUCACGAACAAAGUGGUAAUCAACUUCGAUAUGCUUUGUUCGCUCAUGAAAAACUAGAUUUGAUGCUAUAUAAAGCGCAGCUUGAUUGUCACACUAUAACUUCAUUGGAAGUGAAUUAUUGAUUCCCACCUCACAUAAUAAUUGAUGUAUCCAUAUAAACUCACAAGUGGAUUGUGCCAUAGACCGGUAUUCAGACUCUGCACUAGAGCGAGAUACUACAUUUUGUUUCUUAUUUUUCCACAAUACCAAAUUACCUCCAACGAAGACAAAAUAUCCAGUUGUAGAUCUUUGAUCAAUUUUAGAACCUACCCCAUCCGCAUCUGAGAAGCAUUCAAUAUGAGAAUGGCCAUGAUUACCAUAUAGCAUACCACGUCCUGGAGCUUCUUUAAGAUAAUAUAAGAUUUGCUCUAAAACUGCCUAAUGGGUGGUUCUUUGUGAGGAAAUAAAUUGACUCACAAUACUAACCGGAUAUGCAAUAUCUGGACGAGUCACAGUAAGAUAAUUCAACUUCCCUACUAAUUUCCGAUACAUUUCAGGAUAUGAGAAUAACUCCCCAUCAUCUGCUGUAAGUUGCAUGUUGGGGAUCAUUGGUGCACUGCAUGGCUUAGCACCUAGCUUUCCUAUUGCUUUCAAAAGAUCAAGGACAUACUUCCUUUGGCAUAAAAAGAUACUUUGUUUAGAUCUUGCAACCUCAAUGCCUAAAAAGUAUUUCAACAUAUCCGAAUCUUUUGUCUGGAAGCGCGAUUGAAGAAAAUUUUUAAGAGCUGCAAUGGCUGCAUUGUUACUACUAGUAAUAACAAUAUCAUCAACAUAAACCACUAAUAAGAUGAUACCAACUUCAGAUUGUUGAUAAAAGACAAAAUGACCAAAAUUACACUUCUUCAUGCCAAACUCUUGAACCACCUCACUGAAUCUUCCAAACCAAGCACGAGGACUCUGUUUAAACCAUAUAAUGACUUUCAUAGUCUACAAACCUUACCAGACUUCCCCUAAGCAACAAAUCCAGGUGGUUGCUCCAUAUAAACUUCCUCUUGCAAAUCCCCAUGAAGAAAUACAUUCUUAACAUCUAACAGGUACAAAAACCAAUUAUUAGUAGCAGCAAGGAAAAUAAUCGAACAGAUGUGAGUUUUGCUACGGGAAAAAACGUGUCUGAGUAAUCCACCCCAUAUGUUCGAGCAUACCCUUUUGCAAUAAGACCGGCUUUGAGACGAGCAACAGAACCAUUAGGAUUGACUUUAACAGCAAACACUCAUUUACAAACCUAUCUAUUGGUAGAUGAACAAAGUCCCAGGCACCAUUAUUGUCUAGGGCUAUCAUUUCUUCCUCCAUAGCAGCCCGCCAACCAGGAUGUUCCAAAGCCUCAGAUAAGCAGUGAGGAAGAGAUAUUGAAUUUAAGGAAGCAGUAAAACAACGCAAGGAGGGAGACAAAUGGUCAUAUGAAGCAAAUGAUGAAACUGGGUAAAUGCACUGUCUUUUACCUUUUCUUAAAACAAUAGGUAUAUCCAAGACUAGAAUCUAGAGACUGAGGAAGGGAUGGACCAGGACUCGAAUUUGUAGACAGAGAAAGUGGUGGAGGAUGUGAGUCUAUGUGUUGAGAAUGACGAGAAUACACUUAAGUGAUCGGUGGUCUUGUAGGAACAGUUGUGGUAACAGUGUAGACUAGAAUAUCAUCUGCCUUCCCCUGACUACUAUACACAUUAGACUCAAGAAAAAAUGGAUGUAUCUCAUAAAAUGUAACAUUAGCAGAGACUAAAUAACGAUCUAAACUUGGAGAAUAACAUCUAUACCCUUUUUGAAGACAUGAAUAACCCAAAAACACACACUUCAGAGAUUUAGAAUCUAAUUUAGACACCUGAGGACGGGUAUCACGAACAAAACAAGUACACCCAAAUAUAUGUGGCUCAAUGGGGAAUAAAGAUUGGGUUGGAAACAAAAUUGAAUAAAAAAUCUCACCAACAAGCACAGAAGAUGGCAUGCGAUUAAUUAAGAAAUAGGCUGUUGAAACAGCAUCUGCCCAAAAUUGCUUGGGAACUUUCAUAUGAAAUAGAAGGGCUCUAGUAACUUCUAAUAAGUGCCUAUUUUUCCUUUCAGCAACACCAUUUUGUGGUGGUGUCAAGACAUGAAGAUUGGUGAAGGAUUCCAUUUUCUAACAUAUACGAAUUAAAGGGUCUAGAAAAAUACUCUUUUGCAUUAUCACUUCGCAAAAUGCGGACAGGCACAUUGAAUUGUGUUUUUAUUUCAGUACAAAAGGAACAAAAUAUAUUAAAUAAAUCCGAAUGACUUAUUAUUAAAUAUAACCAAGUAACACAAGAGUAGCCAUCAACAAAGGUGACAAAAUACUUAAAAUCAGACUUAGAUGCUACUGGACAAAAGCUCCAUAUAUCAGAGUGCACUAAUUCAAAAGGGGAUGAGGCCCGUUUAUUGACUCUAGGCAAGGCAAACGAUGAUGUUUGGCAAAUUGACAUAACUCACAAUCUAAAUAGGAUAAAUUCUGAAAAUUUGGACACAACUUGUUCAAGGUGGUUAGAGAUGGAUAACCCAAGUGGCAGUGAAUUUCAAGCGGAGUCAAGGUGGAAGAACAUGCAACAGGUUUCGGCAUUUUCAAUGAAGGGAUUUCAAGUGUAUACAAGCUGCCAGACUCACGUCCUUUACCAAUAAUUUUCCCCGUCAUAAGAUCCUGAAAAACACAAUAUUCAGGAAAGAAUGAGACAGAGCACUUGAGGGCUUUUGUAAUUUAACUAACUGAGAGUAGAUUAAAAGAAAAAUUAGGUAAGCAUAAAACUGAAUAUAAGGGGAUAGAUGACAUAGAAAUUGCUACACUAGAACCCACAACUGAAGCACAUGACCCAUCAGCCAAAGUAACAUUCGAAUGAUCUUUGUUAGGAUUAAAAGAGGAGAGAAUACCUUUAUUACCAGUCAUAUGAUCUGUUGCACCGGAAUCGAUGAUCCAAUUGUUAGGAGAUGACACAAGGCAUGUAGUAGGUUUACCUGAAUGAUCAAUAGGAGGAGGAUUGGUACUAGAAGAUGAAUUAGCAGAUUUUUGUGAGGCCUGAAACUCAGUAAAGCGGGCAAACUCAUCAGCAGAGAUGAGUAUGGAUUUGUCAGAAGGCACAUAAUUGUUUUCCUAGGUUGCGAAAUUUGCAAACAGGGGCGGUUGUUGAGGUCUACUAUGAAGGUCCCAACACGUACCUAUGGUAUGGCCUGAUUUCUUACAGUGACAACAGACUCAUUGAUUUGAGUUAUAUUGUCCAUGACCAGCAAUCCCACCAAUCCCAUUUUUGCACUGUUUCUACCAUUAUUUCCUCGACCAACUCCAUUUCGACUCACGAAAACACUAGUAACAUUGCAAGUAAACAAAGAUCCCUCGGUUCUCAACACUCGUGUAAAUGUGUCAUGGAGGGAAACAAUCUCUGGGCUAGAGAGAAUUUGUGUUCGAGCAGCAUCAAACUCAAUUGGCAAUCCUGCAAGAAAACUCAUUACAGCCAUUUGUUCCCGUUUAGAUUGUUGAGAUUUUACAUCAGUAGCAAAAGGAAGGAGAGAAUUCAAUUCCUCAUACACGUUUAAAAUCCAUAAAAUAUUCUAUAAGGAAUCUUUGCUGUUUUUCCGGACGGUAAAAUUCCUUGCAAACAUCAUAUAUACGAUUUAAAUUACCUUUACCAGAAUACAAGAAAGCCAAAUAAUCCAUAAGAUCUUUAACAAACUCACAAUGAUUGAUGAGACUAACUAUCUCAUUAUCAAUAGAGUUUCGAAUCUGCAAAAAUAGUUUUGCAUCUUCCCUUAACCAAAACCUUCUUUUCUUCCCCAUCAACAGGUGAGUCAUCAGUGAGAUGAUCAUCUCCGUCGAUGCUGCGCAAAUAUAUCCGAAUAAUUUUACUCCAAUCCAAAAAAAAUUUUUCCGCUCAAUUUGUGUUCAGUAAUUUUUGAUGUUGUAACAUCAGAAAUUACUGUUUUCAUCUCUCUAUUACUACCUUUCAUACCUACCAUUAUAAUUCACACAAGAAAGAACUAAAAGUGACUCAAUAAAGUCACGUCAAAAAACAAACUAUUAACAGAGCCUAAAGCUCUGAUACCAUGAAAAACUAAGAAGAAAGGGAGAGAAAAUACUCUUCUUCAUAUCUUUGGACUACACAAUGUACAAAUAUACACACAAGUAUAACCUAAUUUAGAUCCUAAAAUCAUGCUAAUCUAAAUCAAUCUAUUACCUAAUUAAUAUAUGAUACUAUAAUUAAAACAAAUCAAAUCUAAUCUUUCCUAAUAUCUACAAUAUCAAAUCUUUACAUAUCUUCAACAAAAACCAAAAGGCUUAGUUGCCUCCAUAAAUAUCUGGAAAACCAAUUUAAGAAGACAACUUGAAGCAUUCAAAAGAUCCCUGUUACACAUCUCCAAAAACCCCUAGGUCAAAGAAACAUGAUCUCAAUGUAACAGUCUGUUAACUAAUAAUGCCUCAACCUUUUGCAAGCAAAGAAAUCCUGACAAGUAUGGGAGUUGCAACAAAUCAAUCUCAAGCAAAUAUCCAAAUCUCAAACUAUUUUUAAACCAAAAAAUCUUCUGUCAUAAAUUUAUUCAAUAAUCAUCAAACAAUUACAAGUACUUCACAACAGAAGUUGACAAAUAUUGACAAUCUCAUACAUUCUUAGCUUUCAGUACUAUAAUUUCAGACAAGUUAAACAAAACAAACAGACAGAACAUUUUCUCAUUAAGCAUAACAAACCAUUCCAAAGAGAAAAGCGCCAGUCACAUCUGAACCAUAUUCCAGACUAGAGGUCAGUAACCAAACAUGAAGGAUGUAAAUGAACCAAGAUUUAGACUAUUUAAUCCACUUCCUUCUUGAUAAAGUUCCUAGAGUACUAGAGGUACCAUGAAAGAACCUUUUUUCUGAUAGGAUUAUCCACAGAUAUCAGAAAAACCAGUACAGACAGACUUGUCAAAAGCAAGACCCAUCCUUCAAAAGACUAGCAAGAGUAAGACAAAGAACAAAAAGAAGGAUAAGACAGUUGUUAGGUGAUUUCAAGUCACAUGUGUACUACACAUGACACGACUUGCAGUUAAUGUAUUCCAUUACCUACAUCUCCUCUUAACAAUAAUAUUGUGCAAUAAAAUAGCCAGAUCCAUAUUAGUUCAAAUGUUUGUGAGGCCAAAUUCUCAAGAUCCAACUCCACAAACUCACUACAGCAACAACAUUCCCAACAUUGUCAAAAAUUAGUCUUCUCUAUAAAUUAACCAUGUCCUUUUUAUUAAAUUUUUUUUACACCAAUUUCCAUGGAGCCAAACCCUUCAAAUUCUGGUCUAUUAACAAUCCCAAGUCAACAAAUGACCAAAAUCAUUUUUUCCUUUCACUAUAUUGUCAUUCUGUAUUUAUGAUUUCUACGGACAUUCACGAUUCACACUCAUCAGAAACCUUGGGAAGUCAAGAAGAGCAUUACAAAAUUCCUGUCUUUUUUACUGUUUUUCAAUGUACAAUUUGUUAAAUGCAUGCCAAAUAAAGCUAAACUCUGUUCCGCAAAAAGCUACACUAGCAAGAGUACUCAAAGAAGUUUGGUUUCCAAACCUCAUACUCUACCAUGACAGCUUCUCAGAACUCUCAGCCAAGAUAGAAAAUCACAAAUUUCCUAUUAGAUAUGAGCAUGACUAAAUACAUUAAUUCAUCAAAAAGACUUCAAUGCCCUUUUCACAAUAGUACCUUUUGUCCAUGACAGAUGACACGUCUUAUCACCUUAUAUUAUCAUCAAAAGGUGGAAGAUGUCCUGAAAAUGACUUUAUGACAAUAAAGACAGAUAUGUUCCACCCCUCAAAUUAAGUAAUGGUCAAACAGAAAGCCAACUACAAAACCUAAAACAUAGAGAAAAUUACAGAUCUGCAAUAAAGCAGGAGUAACGCCUUGCAGUCUGAGCCUUGAAGAAAAAAGCACUCCCCUGAUCAUGGUAGUCCUAGGUGUCUAUAAAUAGGUAAAUCUUUGUCACAAUGAGUCCUAACACCUAGGCAGACAGCAAGUGCAAGUUCUAUAACUAUUAUCCUUCAAAUGCAUAUAUUUGUUUUUAGGAGACAAUGAAUCAGAAAUGGAUAUGAUUCCUUAGUCUGGAGAAUUCUAGUCAAUUAACUUUUCCAAAAGAUUUAGAUGAAUACAGACAAAGAAAUGCAACCUCAGUAUCUGGUACCAUCAAAAUACAGUUUGCAAUAAACUUUGCUGCCUUUAUGCAAUUUCUAUCAUGUAUGAUAAAAACUCUAGUCAACAGCUCCAACAAUUACAGAAAAAAAGCCUGAAUCAUUUUCUGGCUUCAAAAUCUAGUACUCUACUGCCAUCAGCCUUUUCUCCCUCAAACCAAAACAUUCUGGCGUACUAAUAAAACAGCAACUAAUGAUGUUUAUCUGCAUAAGCAUUUCAUAACUGCUUUUUUCCAGAAGCGUGCCUAUGGGAUACUUCAAAAAUUCCCAUAGUUAAAAUACCUUACACAUAAACAAAAUAAUAAACCUAGACUUCCUCUACAGUCGCAAUCCUAAACAUAAUCCAUUCACCUACUUCUUUUCUUCCAUUGUAUUCAAAUCAAGAUUAAGCUUGCAAUGGCACCUAAUGUAUGAUUAUCCUGACCACCAAAACUAGUUUUACAAACUGACAUGGCUUCCAAAUUUCCUAUCAAUUACCCCAGAAAAUGCUCAAAUUUCCAAACCUCGCCUUCCCAUCCAACCAACUUCUACUGUUCUGGGAUUCAGAGGUUUCCAAUCUCUGAAGUGCAACGCCUAAUAUGAGUAUCUAUUCAGCGCUGGUAUAUAUCCAUCCAACUCAUUCAAUACCAGGAAGAAGAGAAGAGGGACAAAAAGAAAGAAGGUAAAUAAAGAAUGAAGUCAAGAGUCUGUCGCUACCAAAACGUAUAGCUCGAAGAACUCGCAGUGGAUCAUCCAAAAAGGUUUGCUUUGGAGGCAAUGGAGUCACUAUUUUUCCAGAUUUAAGAUCUGAUAUGCCUGAAUUGAAAAAAAGUAGAGCUUUUUCAGACAAAAAAAUGAUGCACGAAACUAAAUCUUACAGAAAAAGAAUGCAAAAGACAGUAAAAUAUAUUCAAUUUACCUCUUUCAGUCAAAUCUUCCACUGAAUCUUUGUUAAUGUUGUAGAACAAACUGUAGCAACAAAAUUGUAAGUGAAAGGCAAUGAAAGGGGAAAAAACAGGUCAAUUUCACUGUUUCAUCUGACUUAUUUACAAGAAAAAGUAAUGUUAUCCCUUCCUAAUAAAAGAACAGAAGCAUAAAGAAAGAAAAAAACCAAGUGACAAAUGCGCUUCCUCAGUUUUAAGUUUGAAAAAUGACAAAAAAAAUUGCAGAAAGGAACAGGAAGAGAAAAUCAAGAAACGCAUUAAAAAAAUCCAGCACAAAGGGAGCAGAUAGCUGUUAUUUUGCCCUCUCUAACGGAUAGACAUACUUUAGAAGACAACGAUAACCAAAAAAAAUGCGCACUGACAAAUACCUGUUAAUGGUUAAAUCCCUACGAUAUGCAUCCUCCUUUGCAGUACCAAAUCUCUAAAUAAUAUAAAAUAAAACAAAAUAAAAAGAGGUCAGAAAAAGAAACAAAAGGUUUUCAACAUCCUUAACUGAAUAGUCUUUCCCGACACAAGAGUUUCUAGGAAAAGCAGAUUUCAUAGUUAUACUGCAGAUAGAAACUCAAAAUGCAUGGCACACUUAACAAAUCCCCCAUCCCCCCCCCCCCCCCAAAAAAAAAAAAAAACAAAACCACACCCCACCAAAACAAAAUGGUAGGCCUUUGCCCUCAGAACCACAAUGAAACUAGCAAAGCAAAACUCAUUUAAGGAUAAGCAUUAGUGAGAAGAAUUUUAGCCCUACCAAACUACUCAUAAUAAACAAUUUGAUUCAACCAUAGUCUCAUAUCUUGUUACAGUAUAGUUUCUGCAAAUUUCUCAAGAAAGAUUUCCCUUAGGUUUGAUGGGACCUUUUAAGCCACUAAAGUUACUAGUAUUAAAAUGAUUCCACUUUUUAACUUCAUUUUCUUCAUAACAGGUAAAUAACUAAAAUCUUGCAAUAAAUGUGACCAAAUCACAGACUUUCUUCAAUUGCCAUUUCAAGGUUUACCUUUUAUGACUUGACAAGGAACAUACUGGUAGGGGUGCAAACAAUAGUAUAAAUAACAUGGAGGUACAAUAAUGUGCGACUGAGUGAGGACUUGCAUGCAGAAAAUAAAAUACAACUAGGAUCACAAAGAUUGGAAAAACAGAAUUUUAGAAGACAAAGAAAACUUUCAAUAUUGAAGCUAUUGAUUGCAAAUUAGUGCCAAGACCCCAAAAUAUUGUAUGAAUAAAAGAUUCCUAACUUCUGGAUCAUAAUUGUUACCAAAUUCAUACAUGUUAAGAAGUCUAUACAUGACAACCAUGUCCAGUCCAUGAGAUGUCAUCUCAACAAGUUCUCCAAAACAUCUACAGAGUAAAGCCUCCAACAUAAUCUUAAAGCCAACCCUUUUUGCUGUAUCAGUUCUUACCAUCACUGGGAUACGGCUACUCUCACUAUAGUCUUCAGAUCUUAAGUUAACAAAAUCAAUCCAUACAUCAAACAAGCGCAUCCUAGCUGUUUCCAAGUGUUUUGACUGAUCAGGAUUGCUGCAGCAACAACAACAGAAAAUUUCUAUUUCAAUUUCACCAUCAAAAUGACACAUUCUAAUCUGCUAUUAUCAUUUUCAAGAAUUUUCAGCUAGAGAUAAGGAUUAGCAACUAUAAAAGCAAAUUAUUUCUUAUGUGAAAUUAAUCUGAUAAAAGCUCAAUUACAGACUUUAGCCCCAAAAAACUCACAACUGUACCAUAGACAAUUAGAUUAUGAAAAAAAAACCCCAAUCUAACAACUGUAAAGUCAAGUUUGCACGGUCACAUAGACCAGUAAAUCUGGCUCUAGAUGAGUACAUGACAAAACCAAGGAAGACCAGCCCUUGGAAUUUGUAUCCAUUCUUAUAAAUGUACAAUCAGCCCACCCAGAUAUCUAAUGCACUCUACCUUUACAUAAACCAAUAAAAGUAGUAAUUUUGUUAAGGAUCACCAACUGCUUACAGCUCAGUUAUCUCUCAUAGCUCUAUGAAGUUAAGGCUGAGUUGUGCACAAUCUCCAAAAGUAAAAGGGUGUUCCAGAAUUGACAUGUAAGUGGUUUCUGAUUAGGGUCCCAAUUGAAAGCUCCAUCCCAAUCUGUGUGUACGUAUGUAUUGCAGUUUCACCAUAGAUUGAGUCAUUCGGGUACUGGUCGAUGUUAAUUCAGUAGAAGUAAUAAUUAUGAAUCACAAAAUACCAAUACAAUGUGCUUGCGAAUUUGAAUUUUUCGGUUCGUUCUCCCUAACCUUCUCAUAUAUUCGAUAGACAUUAAUAAAAUAGAACCGCAACGAGCUAUAAACUCUAAGAAGAAUCCCACAUGAACAAGAUACACAUGUAAAAGUACACAAAGUAAUAAACACCUAACACAUAUGAACACACAAAUAUCUGGCGGUACAAAAUAGUACUAAAAAGUGGAAAUUCUAAUGAAGAAACUCAAUACAACAAUGAUUGAAAAAAAGAAAAGAAAAGAAAAAAAAAAAAAAAAGAGCAUUGCUCAUCUUACUUAUCAAGUCAAAGAGUGAAAUGCCUUUUUCAUCCCUCCUUUUUCUUGUCACAAAAUUUAGCUAAAAUUCAUAAAAACAAAGCAGCAUCAUUACAUGUCAAAUAUGUACUAGCAUAUGCUAUAAAAUGCCAGCAUGCAACCUGUCAGGAAAUCAGGAUACAGAAAAGGGGAUAUGUUGAAUGCUAAAGAAACUUAACAUAGCAUUGAAAAAAAAAAAAUAAAACCUGAAUUCAUAGAGAAGAAAUCACAUUUGAAACUAAAAUUGUAUAAAAAUAAUUGGUUUGGUAAAUAAUUUUUAAUUAUACAAGCUAAGAUUGUAGCUUACAUCUGAUCUUAUUCAGAUUCAAUAACAUGCCUAUACGUAAACAUGAUCUACAUCCAAUUAGAUAAACAUUUCCCCUCAUCUUCACAGCCCUCCACUCCUCCUCACCAAGAUUUCAAAGUCGAAAUUUGCUUCUUUGUACCAUCUCUACUUCCUCCAACCCCAUUGUUGCUUUCGAAUUAUUAUGACUAUUAGCCCUUCGCUUAGUUUUCUCCCAGCUUAUUUUUGCCUCAUCUUUUCUGCUUCUUUUCCCCUCCUCCCAAUUUUCAUUGUUUCCGCAUCCAUAUAAACUUAUAUUUUGAAGCAGUAAUGUGAUUGAAGUUUCUUUGGAAGACCUCUAAAGUUGCUCUACUGGUGUUCAUUUGAAGGGAUUUUGUUCAAAUUUUACAGGUCUAUUCAUCUGUCCGGCCUGGCAUCUUUGUAUAUCCAGUAUCUCCAAGUGAUGACACGUGUUUCUAUCACAUAAUACUACAAGAUACAAUAGCUAGAACAUUUUACAUAGCCCGUAAGACUUCCCAAUUUGCUGCCCCUUGCACCGUUUACUGCAAUUUUAGUCAACAAGCUAAUUCAUUUUAAACUUGACUACCAAAUUUUGGUAAGUUCCUCGCUAAAAUUUACAUGCAAAGAAAGUAUGCAUUACAAUAAGGAUGGAGAAACAAAUCAAAUCACGUACCACUGAAUAAGACCAAUUCCUGGAGUUUCCUCACCAGUAUAUGACAAGUACUCAUUGAUUUUUUCACAAAACUCUCUUCCCGACAUAGUGUCAAUAGCAAUAUCGAUAUCAUCACUAUCUUUACCAAGAAGCUGCAUCAAUGAUAUUCAGAAAUGUGUCAAGUCAUCAGAAAAAUAAAUGUGUUUUAUAUGAUAAAUUCAAUUUAUAUCAACUGAUGAAUUUGUUCAACAAGGUUUAAUAGAGAGCCAACACAUUUCAGUCCACCAUCAAAUGAUGCAAGCUUAAAAGAGAAAAAACCAACCCCCAAAAUCUACAGAAAAUGUAAAAUUUACAAAGCAGGAAAAAAAGGAGGUCAACUUUAAACUAUUGCGGCAUCUAAUGUAGAUAUCCUUUGCUAAUACUAAAAGACACCAAUAAAUUAAUAUUCAGGCUUCUCGUCAAAAGUUAAAUCUAUCUCCUUAUCUUCGGUGAAUAAUUUUAGUUCUAAUUUCGCCCAAUUUUCCUCCAGAAAAUCUCAUAUGCCCCCAACCGAAAACAGAUUAGGAAAUUAUGGUAAACUGAACGAGAGAGAGAGAUAACUACCAAAAAUCGCAAUGAAAAGGAGGAAAAUCAAUAGCAUUCACCGAAAAAAAAAAUUAACUAUCCACAACCUCAAUAAAAAGGCGAAAACAAAUAGCAUUUCGCCAGAAACAACUUACCUUAUCACGAACCCAGCCACCGGCAACACGGAGUUCAGUUUCGAGAUCAAAAUGGCGGAUAACUUGAAGAAGCCGAUAAAAAAUUUCCUUCUCCUUUGGGGUUAAUUCGAUGUGGUCUCUGACCUGAAUUGGCGGGUGAGACGAUGCAGUAGUAGUAGUAGCAGUAGUUAUCGCCAUUGUUGAAUUGUAAAAUCGAAGAAACGGUCCGGUGGAUUUGAAGGAAGAGAAUUUCAAGGAGGAAUUUGCAGUGUUGGGGCGAAUUGGGGAUAUUCUCAAUAGAGGAAAGGAGAUCAAAGGACGGAAGAAAAAAGGUGGGGCUUGGGAAGUGAAGAGUCGGUUAGCGCUUCUGUUUAAAGCUAUGGGCAGUUUCAUAGUUAGUUUGCUUUGACGGGUUUUGGGUUUAAAGAAUUGGACGCAAUUUAUGGCUAAAAGAGUUUAUUGAGUGAGUAGCAUUUUCUAGUCCACUGCGGGGAACCAGGGAAAGCUUUCCCCGCAUGUACACUGCCCACCCGACUUAAGUCCCUCUUUGGACUGCUGGUGACGGUUCAAACCUCACCAACAGCGAAAAUAAUUUAAGAAUUGUGUUAUAACACUCUCUUGAUCUAGUUGGAUCUGUAUACCCACUACUCCCUACAAUAGCCUCCUUAGGCUCCCCCUCUCCCUAGAUUAGGAUAGAAUAGAUUAUACAAAUGUAUCGUUGCUGACAAAAAACAAAAAAAUGUACACUUUCCACCCCUAAAUUACGAGUUCCGAAAUUCGAACACUAAAUUUAACAGCAAAGAGAACUUAAAACCCUCUCUGUCUGAUCACUGGACUAAAUCUAACAAUAAAAAGAACUUAAAUAACUUUCAUCUGGCCACUCAACCAACCCCAUUGGUUACGAAAAGGUUGCAACUCGUCGUUAUCAAUUUUUUUUUUUGACUAAUUUGGAUUUGUAUUUUAAUUCCAAAGAAUGAAAAUUGUGGGUUUUCUGGCAAAUUAGCAAUAGGUCAAUUGGGGUGUCAAUAAAUUUAUCAAAGCUUACAGGUAUCACACAAAAAAUGACAUCCCCAAUGAUGUACUAGAGGUAUCUCAAGAAAAGGGAAAACAAGUUUCCUUCAUACCAAAAGAAAUUCAUGCACUAGCUAGGAGCGUAAAAAGUAAAGAAUCAUUUUGGUUCUUUUACACUUUUUAAAUGUUUUUCUUGUAACAAACACAGAAAUAAAUAAAUAAAAAAGUAAUUUCCUUCUAACUUUCUGAAAUUCGUUUGUUUUCCUCCAUUUGAUUUUCUACAACCGAAAACCAUGCGGCCAAAACUUAAUUUGAUAAAGCAAUACUUGUUGCUUCAAACUUUACACUUUCUGCAUGCCGCUCAAAUCCUGUUGGCUAAUUGCUUAUUCAUCAAAUGUGGAAGCAAUUAUUUCAUGUGGACCUCCAAAAUUCCUUUGUACCAGGUUAAAAUUGGGUAGUUACAAAUGUUGAGGAAUUUGUCGCUAUUCCUUUGUACUCCAUACGUUUCAUUCUUUGAAGAUCCACUAUGCUCACGGUUAAAGUAUACUAUACGAUACAGUGAAUUUGGAAAGCUUCAUAUCAACACAAAGAGGCUCCAAAAUCCAACCCACAACUCAAAUACUCCUGUCUCUGAAGAUUCAAAAGCUAUGAUCCCCUGGACAUUGAAGAACGGAAGUGACAAAAAGUAAAAAACAGUGAAUAAAAAAAGCUGAUGGAAUCAAUGGACUAUCAGCCCUCUAAAAAAUUACAGUGUAGUUCAGUUCUACAGUUCUACUGUUGUCACCUUGCGAAUAUUUGCCAACACAGUCUCCAGCACUAUAGCAAAACAUUGACUAGGGAACAAUAAAAUGUCGCAUGAGCACGCAAUUAGGAAGUCAAUGUACUGGCACAUUUUCUUUUUAAU